rnacentral:misc_RNA from 1 species
AAAAAUUUUUCUAGCAAACCCAAUAGCGGCUAUCUCUAGGCGUGUGAAUAUUAACGCAGAUGAAAACGAGGAACGAAGAAAAAUAAAUGAUAAGGAGAAAAUAGAGAAUGAAGCAGUUUCUAAAUAUUUUUUAGUUGUGGGUCCAUUCUUUGCGUUUUUGUUAAUACUGAAAUAUUAUGGAUAUUGAAAUGCCGUGAACCACCAAUUUUGCACUUUAUUGAGCAGCUGUUGAGGCAGUAGGGAUAUCUGCCUGCGUUGCUCUAUAAAUACUGUGAAAGUACAAAGUACAUUUGGUUAAAUAUUCUAUAUAGCUUUUUAUGUAUGUACUGCUACUGCUAAAUGAUACAUCAUGCACGAGAUGAUAUGUAUGUAUGUAUGUAUGAAUUAAUUUGAUUAAUAAAUUUAGAAAUG